GAUUAAAUCGGGGUAAACCUGGUUCAAAUCGUAUGGUAAUGGAGGUUAAUUUUGUGGGUCUCACAUUGAUAUGUAGGGCCUUCCCGCUUUCCUUUCUCAAUUUCCUCUCUCUCCUUCUACUUCUUCUGCUCAAAUUUCCUCUUUCUCUCUCGUGAGAAUCUCCUUUGAAGAAUCAGGUGGAACUGCAUUUAAUGUUGUCGUUCCGGUUUCUGAUGACGGAGGAAGUUAGAUUGUUUCGUCUACUUGGUAAUUUUAAUUAACAGGUAGUCCAGCUGUUGGAGACAUUGAUUAGAUCGAGUGUCAGAUGAAAGCACUUCUGAAGCUCUUGCUGUGCCAGAAUUGCUUGGACACCACUCUUACAUCUUGAUGGAGCACACGCUAAAUCAGAAUGUUUUCUGUACGGGUUGAAUUUCACUAAAGAUAUUUAAAGCUUGUGUACGGGUUGCUAGUGACCCAUGUCACCCAUACCUUGCUUUUCGGUUUUCUGUGCUCCAGUCUUUUAGAUGCUGCAAUAUUCUUGUUUUCACGUGUUACAAAUAUUCCGCCGAAAGUCUCGUGCUCCCUGUGAUAUCCACAAAUGACAGGUUUAAGUUGGGAUAUGAUUUAUGGGAUGGAACCAAAAUACAUGGGCAAAAUCAAAUAUCGCACCUAUUGGAUCUAUUCGACCUGUUGACAAGAAAGGCUCUUCUGUUCCAGCAUUGCCUUCAAGAAUAAAGAGAAUAUUCUACAUGUCAAGCCAGGGAAGAAACAAGAUAGGAGAAGUCAUGAGCUGAAAGAUUUAAACGGAUUUAGUAUGAGCAUAUUGGGCAUUUAGUAUUGUUCUGAUACAAAAUGGUUUUCAUUUUAUUAAACGGUAAAGACAGUUAUUUCAAUAAAAUCAUAAAUAUAAUUUAGCUGCCAGUUAUUGUGCUAUACUAUGUCUUGCUUGAUGAUAAAGUGCUCUUUGUCAAGUUGUUCUUCAAUUAUUGAUUUGGGUAGUAGAGUGCAGGUUUUUUUCUGACUAUAAUAUUAAU